AUAAACGCUGGCGGCGUGCCUUAGGCAUGCAAGUCAAGGGGGCUCCGCAAGGAGGCAACCGGGCAGACGGGUGAGGAACGCGUAGGAAUCUACCCUUGGGCGGAACAUAGCCCCGAGAAAUCGGGGGUAAUUUCCCAUAGUUCUCGUAAGAGUAAAGCGAUUAACGUCGCGCCGAAGGAGGAAGCCUGCGCCCCUAUCAGCUAGUUGGCGGGGUAGGGUAAUAAAAGCCCACCAAGGCAAUGACGGGUAGCUGGACUGAGAGGUCGAUCAGCCACAACUGCACUGAGACACGGGCAGUACACCUACGGGUGGCAGCAACCAGGAAUAUUGGGCAAUGGACGAAAGUCUGACCCAGCGACGCCGCGUGGAGGAAGAAGGGCUUAGGCUCGUAAACUCCUUUUGACCGUCUAUUCACGGACGGUAGAAUAAGCCUCUACUAACUACGUGCCAGAAGUCUCGGUAAUGCGUAGGAGGCAAGCGUUAUCCGGAAUCAUUGGGCGUAAAGUGUGCGUAGGCGUCCCGAUAAGUUGUACUUGAAAUACCAAGGCUUACCCUUGGAUCCGGGUACAAUACUAUCGGGAUUGAGGAUUGGCAGGGAUGCUGGAACAGGUAGUGUAGCAGUGAAAUGCGUUGAUAUUACUUGGAACACCAAAGGCGAAGGCAGGCCAUCUGGGCUUUUCCUGACGCUGAGGCACGAAAGCUAGGGUAGCGAAAACAGAUUAGAUACCUGUGUAGUCCUAGCCGUAAACGAUGUCCGCUAGCUCUGUCGUUUUUGCGACGGGGCGUAAGCUAACGCGUUUAAGCGGACCGCCUGGGGAGUACGGCCGCAAGGCUAGAACUCAAAGGAAUUGACGGGGACCCGCACAACCGGUGGAGCGUGUGGUUUCAAUUCGAUACAAAACGAAAAACCUCACCAGGACUUGACAUGAUACCGUUUAUUUCCCGCGAAAGUGGGAGAAAUCCGUAAGGAUGGUACCACAGGCGUUGCAUGGCUGUCGUCAGCUCGUGCCGUGAGGUGUUCCCUUAAGUGGGGAAAACGAGCGCAACCCCCAUCCAAUGUUACAUAUUCAUUGGAAACGGACCCAGUUUUACUGGGAAGGAAGGAGGGGAAGACGUCAAGUCAGCACGGCCCUUAUGUCCUGGGCUACACACACACUACAAUGGCGAAUAACAAUGGGCAGCGAGCUUGCAAAAGUAAGCGAAUCCCCGAAAAUUUCGCCCCAGUUUCAGAUUUGGGGUCUGCAAACCCGACCCCAUGAAGUCGGAAUCGGUAGUAAUCGCGGAUCAGCAUGCCGCGGUGAAUAACGUUUCUCGGGGUCUUGUACACACCGCCCGUCAAGGCAGCAAAGUCGGGAGUAGACGAAUCCGCCAUCUGGCGGAGAGUCUAAAUUCGGCGAUGAGGCUU
rnacentral:rRNA from 1 species